rnacentral:rRNA from 1 species
CCUACGGGAGGCAGCAGUGGGGAAUAUUGGACAAUGGGGGGAACCCUGAUCCAGCCAUGCCGCGUGUGUGAAGAAGGCCCUCUGGUUGUAAAGCACUUUCAGUGAGGAAGAACGCCUGGUGGUUAAUACCCAUCAGGAAAGACAUCACUCACAGAAGAAGCACCGGCUAACUCCGUGCCAGCAGCCGCGGUAAUACGGAGGGUGCGAGCGUUAAUCGGAAUUACUGGGCGUAAAGCGCGCGUAGGUGGCUUGAUAAGCCGGUUGUGAAAGCCCCGGGCUCAACCUGGGAACGGCAUCCGGAACUGUCAAGCUAGAGUGCAGGAGAGGAAGGUAGAAUUCCCGGUGUAGCGGUGAAAUGCGUAGAGAUCGGGAGGAAUACCAGUGGCGAAGGCGGCCUUCUGUACUGACACUGACACUGAGGUGCGAAAGCGUGGGUAGCAAACAGGAUUAGAUACCCCGGUAGUC